ensembl:snRNA U6 U6 spliceosomal RNA
GUGCCCACUUCUGUGGCAUGCAUACGAGACUUGGAACAGGACUGAAAGAUCAGCAUGGCCCUUGUGAGAGGGUGACACACAAAUUAGAGAAAUGUUCCUUGAAAUA